CUUUGUUGCAUAGAUACCCUAAGGGCACCAGAUCCUCCCAGAUCCUGGAAGCUAAGCAGAGUCAGCCCUGCUUAGUACCUGGAUGGGAGACUACCAACAAAUAUCAGGUACUGUAGAUA
rnacentral:rRNA from 11 species